rnacentral:lncRNA from 1 species
GCGGGGUGGAAAGUGUCUGCUGAAAGGGCCACGGCUGUCCCAGGUCACCCUGCACAGGAUUACCUGGAUGACCUCCCCCUGACGUGCUCUGCUACUGUCAGUGAGUCCUGAGUGGGAGGAUGUCUCAGGAUAGGGAAAGGGCAAGUUUGAAGACGGGCAGAGCUUGGGAGAAGCACUAAGCUGAGGGGAGGCAGUAGGCAGAACCUCAGGCGUGGGACCAUAUCAAGUGCAACUAGGGUGUGUGGGGGCAGGAUCAGAAGCCACCUCCGUGGCCUGGGCCUGUGGCCAAGCCAACUUAUAAGGAGGGAGCUAUUCAGUAUAGGAGGGAAGGCCUGGCCUCGGUUCUGGAGCCCAGUGGUGAGUCCCUGUCCCAGUUGAUUUCACGGGAUUCUCCUGGGAUGCGGAGCUGUGUGGGGUCAGUCUGCCAGCUGUCUGGAAGGCCCAUCGGUGGCCAGAAAAGCUGGAGACUGAGUGUUUCCUGCUGGGUCUCUCUUGCCUUAGGGCCUUCGCACAUGCUGUCCCUCUUCCUGGGUGAGCCCCCUCUAGCAGGGGUGUCUUGCUCACUACAGACCCAUGUGCUUUUUCAGUAAAACUUCCAGGGAUUGGGAUCCAGGGUGGUGAGAUCUCCUGGGCAGUGAGGAGGUAAAAAGCUGAGUCCUGGGGAGGGCCUGGGCUUUGCUUCUGACUAGCCAGAGCUGGACAACAAGGCAUGUCCAGCUUCCUCUUCACUGGCUCAGUUUCUUCUGAGACACCUCUACCUCUGGCCCCAGGCUCUCCUCCACCACCAACCAGUCAGCAUCUGUCUGUCCUGAUGACGUCCCGCCCCCUUGUCUGGGUCUCUAGCAUUCUUUCUUGGCUAUAGCCACUCCCACAUUCUUUGGGUCUCUCUUGCCUUAGGGCCUUUGCACAUGCUGUCCCUCUUCCUUUGCUGGCUAGCCCCAACCCAUCUUUCAAGGUCACACGCGGCUGCUAUUCCAGGCUGGUUGGGUAGGGCAGGCUGAUAGGGCUUCUUCACUGGACCUUUUAGCUGCCAAGGCUUUCCCAAGAGCCCCUGGCACACACCUGAGUUGAGG